GGAAGCCUCCGCACAAUCAAGCCUUUCCUCGGCCGGGACCCUCCGCUUCCAGGCCCGGCCGCCCCACCCCCACGCGCCCUCGGGCUGCCGCCGGCCGGCAGUUCUUAGGAGCGCGGACAGAGGGGUCGGCCGGCCUUCCCACCCCCUUCCGCCCGCGCCCCCUUCCUUCCUCUCUGUUCUGUUCCGCUUUCUGGGCUGGGACGCGGAUGCAGAGGGGAGGGGAGACCCCAGAAGGGCCGGGCAUAUAACUCCUUGGCCUGCAAAGGGGAGCCUGGUCCUCUUGGAAGAAGCACUGUCCUUUCUCGAGGGCUCAUGGGGUGGGCCGGCUGAGUUCCUCGCCUCCUCCGUCUAGGGACCAAGGAUUACACAGCAGACUUGCAAAGCAGUUUCAGAGACUGAACUGCCCUCUGGUCCACGCAGCAGACCGGAGCUCUCCUUCGCUUCGUGGCUAACCUCCUUCAAGGGCGCGUGCACUCCCUACCACCAGCUGCCCAUCACCCUCAGGCCUCCGCUCGCUCUGGACACGGUGCUGAGCCACUCCAGCAAAGGCAAUCGUUGGCCUCUUGAAAGCUAAAUCUUAAGUGCGUUUUCCAGCUCUCAUUUUACUUGAUCUCUAUAGCAUCUGACAUCUUAACACUCCAUCAUUUAUUAAUUUAAAAUUUUAUUGUGAAAUAUUGUAGACAUGCCAAAGGUAUGGAAAACAAUAUAGCAAACAUACCUGUUGCAUCCGUCAAGGUUCUGCAGAGAAACAGAACUAAUAGGAUAUUCAUUCAUGCAUUCAUUUACUGACUUAUUAUAAGGAGCUGGCUCAGGCAGUUAACGACAGCUAGUUCCAAGUUCUGCCGAGGGAGCUGGCAGCCUGCAGACCCAGGAAAGCCAACGGUUUAGUUCCAGUCUGAGUCUGAAGGCCUGAGAACCAGGUGAGCUGAUGGGAUAAUUCUGGUCUGAAGGCCAGCAGGCUUGAGACCCAGGCAGAAGCUGAUGUCCCAGUUUGAAGGCAGCCAGGCAGGAGGGAUGCUUUCUUAUUCGGGGGAGGGGGGAUCAGCCCCUUUGUUCUAUCCAGGUCUUCAGCUGAUUGGACAAGGCCCACCCACAUUAGGGAGGGCAAUUUGGUUUACUCAGUCUACUAAUUUAAAUGUUAAUCUCAUCCAAAAACCACCCAGAAUAAUUUUGGCCAAAUAUCUGGGCACCCUGUGGCCCAGUCAAGUUGACACAUAAAUUUAACCAUCAUACCUGUGAACACCAUACAGUGUAAGAAAUAAAGCAGUGCGAGAGCAUAGCUUAAGCUCCUCCCCUCUUGAAUUUCUCUCUCCCCACAGAGGGGAUACUAUUCUGCACUUGGCAUUAACCAUUCCCAUACAUCUCUUUAUGCUUUUACUAUGUUAUAUACUAUACAUGCAUAGACUAUUUUAACUAUACGUAUGAAAUCAUACUGUGUGUGUUCUUCUGCAGCUUUCUUUUU